rnacentral:rRNA from 1 species
UACGUAGGGCGCAAGCGUUAUCCGGAAUUAUUGGGCGUAAAGAGCUCGUAGGCGGUUUGUCGCGUCUGCCGUGAAAGUCCGGGGCUCAACUCCGGAUCUGCGGUGGGUACGGGCAGACUAGAGUGAUGUAGGGGAGACUGGAAUUCCUGGUGUAGCGGUGAAAUGCGCAGAUAUCAGGAGGAACACCGAUGGCGAAGGCAGGUCUCUGGGCAUUAACUGACGCUGAGGAGCGAAGGCGUGGGGAGCGAACAGG